UUGCAGUUUUUCUGACUUUAUCAUAGAUGUGGAAGUGCUAAGUGUGCUAUGAUGGAGGACAAUUUUGCCGUCAUGAAUUAUUUUCUGAAGAAUAUCCUCAUGGGAAACUCGAUGGGGUACCCCCACAGCCUUCAACUACCUACCUCCUGGCAGGCACACCACUGGUAUAACUGAAGAUGUGGCAGUUUUACAAAACUGAAGUUGAGGAACUCUUCUUGAAGUCAAUUUUAAGGUGAAAUAGCCCACCUAAAAGCCCAUGAGAGCUGGGUAUGGUAGCAUUCAUCUGUAAUUCCAGCACUCAGGAGGCUGGGGCACAAGGAUCAC